UAUAAAUUCGAUAAUUUGAGCUAAGUAUUUUUUUAUCAUCCUUAUUUCGGUAUUGUGCUCUCUACUCACAUUUACAUUCUUAAUUCUUUCAUCUUUCCUUUAAAUUUGCAUCGUUGGGUUUAUCAUGACUCUAACAUAAGAAGGCAUGGCAUGGCGUGGUAGUAGACAAGCAAUAGAGACUAUUUAUGGAACAUUGGAAAGUAUUUUUGUUGAGUUUCCAAAUACAUUUCAGCUUUGCAAGCUUCAAACCCCGAUACAAUUGUGCAGUGGUUCCAUAACCCAAAUGUCUCGCCACAUUUGGCAAUGUUCAAAGUUGUCACAGUGUUACAAAUAAAUGACAGAGGAGGAAAUACACAUAUUGUCCAAUAUUUUCAACAUACGUGUACAUAUGGUAAGCAGCAAAUGAAAAGAUUUUCAUGUUCACAUGCAAUUGCAGUUUGCUGAUAUAGAAGGGAUAAUCCUCUUUCCGUAUAUGAAUGAUGUAUACAUUAGUAUGAUGUACAAACAACAAUAUAACGUUGGUUUUGUACAACUUACUCGUUAUAGGUAUUUAUUGGUUUCAAAUUGGGUGAUUUAAGCGGGUUACUAAAAACUGUAUGUAUGUCGAGGUCGGAGGCCUGAAAACCGAAUUUGCAAUGAGAUGGACACUCUCAUCCUGAUGAACCUCAGAAAUAUGGACUUCGCACUAUCAACCAGGCCAUAAUAGAAAAAAUAAUUCAAGUUUUCAUCCACGAUUCCAUGUGACAUAAACUGUAAUUUUUUACUGAUCUCGUUAUUUUAUAAUUAGUGAUCUUGUAAUUUCAUAUUUAAUUUGUAUUGUAAUUUCCAAAUUAAGUUCUGAAAGGUUGUAGUUUGUAAAUAUUAUCAAUGUAACGUAAAUUAUGUGUUUAUUUAUUGCAUUACAUAAUUAUAUUUA